GCCUCCUGCCCUCAGCCAGGAGGGGAAAGGGACAGCGAGGGAGUGACAAUGCUGCCCGCGCGCCCCGCAAACAGGAUGCCUCGGCUAUAUAAAGAUCAGGGGGCGGAGGAGCGGGACAUAGGACGUGCCAGGGGCUUGUGACAGCCCGCGGGCCGCUGCCCCUCGUGAAGACGGGCACAUUGGCUGAGCCACCCCGCACAGAGUGGGGCAGAUCUGAUGCUGUACAAGCCGCUGGACCUCCCCUCAAGGCUGGCAGAAAGGUGCCUCCAUGGCGAGAUAAAGCCAAGGGAAACAAAGGAAAUGUUUCUGCAAGGAGGAACCUUCACACAUUUUAUUUUUCAUGCCAAGCUAUAGCUCACAGCAGACAAAAAUCCCCACGGCAAAGCCUGUUGCAGAGUCGGGGGUUCCCAGAGCCACGAUUGCCAUUGAGCUCCCUUCACCCCAGCAGGAUUUAGGCCAUCAUCCAGCAGGGCCCAAAUUUCACUCCGAGGGAAGGCUGCUAACUUCAGGUCCACUGCUGUCCCUGGCCAAGGGCGUUCUUUUGGUUGGGAGGAGGCAAUGGGAGAACUUCUGCUUGUUCCAUAGCGUGGGACAUGGGGCACACAGCCCCACUUGGCUGUGGAAGGGACAUUUGUUGAAAUCUCUCCCAGAGAGUCUCAUUAGCACCACACGAUGCCCCAUUUUCUGGAAGGCAAGAAGAUGAUCUGCAAGAGGAAGCUGGGAUUUCUUCCAAGUCUUUCUGAGCUACAUCCAUGACACCCCUGCAGAAGAAUGGUCCUCGUCGCUCAGGAGCUCAUCUCCAACCAUGGCUUGCAACCAGGCUCGCUGACAUGCCACACACACAGCAGCAACCAAGCAGACCAACCUUUGUCUGCAGAGCAGAUUUUCCCCUUAAAAUAAAGUUUUUCAGCCCCCAAAA